AUUGAACGCUGGCGGCAGGCCUAACACAUGCAAGUCGAACGGUAACAGGAAGAAGCUUGCUUCUUUGCUGACGAGUGGCGGACGGGUGAGUAAUGUCUGGGAAACUGCCUGAUGGAGGGGGAUAACUACUGGAAACGGUAGCUAAUACCGCAUAAUGUCGCAAGACCAAAGAGGGGGACCUUCGGGCCUCUUGCCAUCGGAUGUGCCCAGAUGGGAUUAGGUAGUAGGUGGGGUAACGGCUCACCUAGGCGACGAUCCCUAGCUGGUCUGAGAGGAUGACCAGCCACACUGGAACUGAGACACGCUCCAGACUCCUACGGGAGGCAGCAGUGGGGAAUAUUGCACAAUGGGCGCAAGCCUGAUGCAGCUAUGCCGCGUGUAUGAAGAAGGCCUUCGGGUUGUAAAGUACUUUCAGCGGGGAGGAAGGGAGUAAAGUUAAUACCUUUGCUCAUUGACGUUACCCGCAGAAGAAGCACCGGCUAACUCCGUG
rnacentral:rRNA from 1 species